GAUGAACGCUAGCGGCAGGCCUAAUACAUGCAAGCCGGACGGCAAGUUGAGUAGCAAUACUUGACCUAGAGUGGCGUAAGGGUGCGUAACACGUAUGCAAUCUGCCCACAGCCGGGAGAUAGCCCUCCGAAAGGAGGAUUAAUAUCCCAUAGGAAGAUGAGAUGGCAUCAUUUUAUUUUAAACUACGGGGCUGUGGAUGAGCAUGCGGUUGAUUAGCUAGUUGGCGGGUAAAGGCCCACCAAGGCGAUGAUCAAUAGGGGACCUGAGAGGGUGAUCCCCCACACUGGCACUGAGAUACGGGCCAGACUCCUACGGGAGGCAGCAGUAGGGAAUAUUGGACAAUGGGUGUAAGCCUGAUCCAGCCAUGCCGCGUGCAGGAAGAAGGGCCCUUU
rnacentral:rRNA from 1 species